AUUGAACGCUGGCGGCAGGCUUAACACAUGCAAGUCGAACGAGUGGCGGACGGGUGAGUAAUGCCUGGGAAUCUAGCUGAUGGAGGGGGAUAACUACGGGAAACGGUAGCUAAUACCGCGUACCAUAGGAUGAGCCCAAGUGGGAUUAGGUAGUUGGUGGGGUAAAGGCUCACCAAGCCGACGAUCUCUAGCUGGUCUGAGAGGAUGACCAGCCACACUGGGAAUGAGACACGGUCCAGACUCCUACGGGAGGCAGCAGUGGGGAAUAUUGCGCAAUGGGGGCAAGCCUGAUGCAGCCAUGCCGCGUGAAUGAAGAAGGCCUUCGGGUUGUAAAGUACUUUCGGUAGCGAGGCGUUAACCACAGAAGAAGCACCGGCUAACUCCGUGCCAGCAGCCGCGGUAAUUC
rnacentral:rRNA from 1 species